UACAGAGGUCCCAAGCGUUGUUCGGAUUCACUGGGCGUAAAGGGUGCGUAGGUGGUGGGGUAAGUCGGAUGUGAAAUCUCCGAGCUCAACUCGGAAACUGCAUUGGAAACUACCCUGCUAGAGGGUCGGAGGGGGGACUGGAAUACUUGGUGUAGCAGUGAAAUGCGUAGAUAUCAAGUGGAACACCAGUGGCGAAGGCGAGUCCCUGGACGACUCCUGACACUGAGGCACGAAAGCCUAGGGGAGCAAACAGG
rnacentral:rRNA from 1 species